rnacentral:rRNA from 1 species
UAGGGAAUCUUCCGCAAUGGACGCAAGUCUGACGGAGCAACGCCGCGUGAGUGAAGAAGGUUUUCGGAUCGUAAAGCUCUGUUGUUAAGGAAGAACGAGUGUGAGAAUGGAAAGUUCAUACUGUGACGGUACUUAACCAGAAAGGGACGGCUAACUACGUGCCAGCAGCCGCGGUAAUACGUAGGUCCCGAGCGUUGUCCGGAUUUAUUGGGCGUAAAGCGAGCGCAGGCGGUUAGAUAAGUCUGAAGUUAAAGGCAGUGGCUCAACCAUUGUAGGCUUUGGAAACUGGUUAACUGGAGUGCAGAAGGGGAGAGUGGAAUUCCAUGUGUAGCGGUGAAAUGCGGAGAUAUAUGGAGGAACACCGGUGGCGAAAGCGGCUCUCUGGUCUGUAACUGACGCGGAGGCUCGAAAGCGUGGGGAGCGAACAGG